UCCGUAGGCGGGCAAUUAAGUCAGAGGUGAAAUCCCACAGCUCAACUGUGGAACUGCCUUUGAUACUGGUUGUCUUGAGUUACAGUGAAGUAGAUAGAAUAUGUAGUGUAGCGGUGAAAUGCAUAGAUAUUACAUAGAAUACCGAUUGCGAAGGCAGUCUACUAACUGUCGACUGACGCUAAGGGACGAAAGCGUGGGGAGCGAACAGGAUUAGAUACCCUAGUAGUC
rnacentral:rRNA from 1 species